rnacentral:lncRNA from 1 species
AUUUUUUUCAUUUAUUUUAUCAUAAAUUAUUUUUUUCAUCUAUACAUGUUUUAAUCUCCAUAAGGAUUCACUUCGUCUUCAAUUUUCAUCUUUAUCUCUUCUUCGGCAAUUUCAGCAAUCUUGAAUGUAUUAAUAGUUUUCUAAGUUAUCAUAUGGACAAAUAAGGAUCCUUUAUACAUGAUUUAAUCUAUGCCUUCCUCUAAUUGUUUAACUAUUUCCUUUUUCUCACAUAUAAAAGUAAGAGUUGUGUCCUGAAUAAUUCUAUUGAAGGCGCUUACUAAUUUUUUACAGGAUAGAGUAUGAUCGUAGAAAAUUCUCAGUCUAUUAUUUUAUUUUAUUUUAAAUUCUUCUAAGCCACUGAACCAAUUAGGAAUCGUAAAAGUUUUGUUCACAGGAGCUUAGAAAAAUUCAAAAUCUACCAUUCUGUGGUUAUAAGAAGUUUCAAAUCGGUAUGACACUUUUUUAAUAUAAAAACAUAAGCAUCGAGAUAUCAAAGCAAGAUUGAUCCUUGAUGACUGCUUCCCCUUCCUCCGAGAGAAAAUAUCAUUAUCAUUAUUUAAUUUCUUUAUUAGGUCAACUAGAUUCAAAUCAUUAAUUAAUUUUCUGAGCAUAGUAUUAUUUAGAUAUACGUAUGGUCUUUUAUCAAUAUCAACAUUGAGCUCGCCAAUUAAAACCGAGGGGAAAGAAUCUCUCUUUAUUUAUUUUCGUCCUUUAUGAAAACAGACACUAGUUGUUACUUUAUACUUAGAGUUUCCCUUCUCAAGAAUUAGACAAUAAUGAUAACAGCUUUAGAAAAUAAAAAAUUAUGUUAAAGUUGCAACAAUAAAUAAUAGCUUCCACUUUCUAUGAUAUACUUUAUACACCUCUAAUAAUAACAAAAAGGAGCAAAGACGAAUUUUACUACAGGACUUGUAUGAUAAAAACAAGCGUGUGUACUUUACAAGAACUAAGUGCUAUUCAUUUUCUUAUUAUUAGUUACUAUAAUAAUCAGACAAGCAUAUUAUAUGUCCUUUAAAGCGGGAGCAGAGCUUUGCAUCCCUAUAAUUCUACAAACUGGUAAUAGAUGCUCUCAUUAUUGGUACUUCAUUCUUGAGGAAAAAACAUAUCAUAAUUCAUAAGCAGUAAUUGUAUAAAAAUAAGUAACCUGUAUAUACUAACUACAUAUUUAUUAUUUUAAUAAGUUUUAGAAACUUGUAAAGCUGUAUCAUGAUGGAAUUUGAGAUAAAGUACUGACUAUUGAUAUUAAACCCUGGAUUGCUGAUAAUAUUGGGGAAAAAGUAUGGAGUUACGAAGAGGAUUCAAGGUUUUUUGCAUGACGUUUUUGUAAUUAUGGAACUAUAGUCUUGAAGACGUUCAAAGUUGAACACCACAUUCAACCCCGAAUUUACGAGAGGAAUAUGGUAUUUUAUACAAUUCACAUAAUUUAUUCUAACUCUUAACAUUCCAAUUUUAUUAAUAAUAUAACCGAGAUCCUUAUUUUCUGCAAUAUUCCACUCCAUAUCGUGAAUCAUCCAAGCUUUGUUAAGUUCAUGGAAAUUUACUUUGGAAAAGUAAUUCCCUCUCACUUCUCCAUCACCAAAUCAACGGAUUGUUAAAGAAAAGAAGUUUUAUCCAAGAUAAAGAAAGAAAUUGAAGGGAAGGUUAUAUUUCUUGAAUUAGACGAAAUUAAAUACACUCGACAGCCAUCCAUGAACACAAUGUUGGUUGGUCCUUUAGAUAGCUUAUUUUUGGGUCUUCCUUAUCUCAUUAAUUUGGAAGAUGUUACGAAAGCCGACAAUAAAACAAUUACAAGUGUUCUUAUAAAAAGUAUCAACAACUUUCUUCCCUCCCAUUUCAGAGGCAAAAAAGAAGUUUUUCAUUACCGAUGGAGCAUUAUAUUGAAUUAAAGGAGCUCAAAACCUUGAACUAAAUUUUCCAAUUUCAAUUAUCUAACUCGUGAUAGCAAGAGUAAUAAUAUAAGUAGUAUUAAUAUCAAGAUAUUAAAUUGAGAUAAUUUGCUCAUGAAACCGUCAGUUACAAACGCGAAUUUGUUAAACACAAAAGUACACCUAUCGUUCAUUGUGAUUUUAAGUGUGAUGUCUAACAUAAAUGUACCGAAAAGGUAACCUUUGACGGAGAAUCGCAUCAAGGAUAUUAUGAUAAUGAAAUGGAACAUUGAAUUAUUAUACGUUGGAGAAUUAUUAUGAAGAUAGUUGAAUGAUCUAAUGAAUCAAUUAAGUAUUAUUAUAAUUAUUUACAUAAUCUAUUACAUUUUUAGGUAUUUAAAUUUGGCUAUUGGAACUGUAGUCUACGAUGAUGGAUUAGUAUUUUGUCAUUAUGGACGUUGACAGUUGAAAUAGAGCUUAUGGAGUCAAUCAGCUACUUCAUAGUAAAUAUCCAUGUUUCAUUUAAUGAUCAUAUUCGGGACAAGAAACUUCUGUCAGACGGGACUUUUUGGUACAUUUAUGUCUUACAUACCACUGCAAACCCCUUUCAGAAUCAAAGUUAAAAAUAGGAGUGUUUUUGUAUUUAAAAAACUCGCUAUCGUGAUUGAUGGUUUCAGGUGCCUAUUCUCUCAAUUUGGUAUAUCCCUUGUCUUUCUCUAUUCCCUCCUGACAUUUCGUUUUUGAAAGGUUCAAGAUGAAUAUCUUAGCAUAACUUUUCAACGAUAGUUACACUUGGGAUUAGCAGCAAUCUCUCUUUCUAUGCUUUAAUGGUUACCUGGAUUGGAUUCAUUUUUUUUUUCUUUUCCCUUCCUUCUUAAACGAUUUUAUUAAAACUUUUAAAAAAAUUCACAUGAUUGCAUAAAUUUAACAUUUAAUCAAUAAAAUAUGUCCACACGUUAACAACGUUCCCGAAAACGUCCCCCUGCUGUUUUGACCGUACUACUGGUUAAAGUCCAGAAUGCCCUCCUUACCCCAGCUCUCAAGGAUAUUGUGUUCUCUGGGGACCUUCAUUGAAAACCCAUUUAACAUUACUCCAGAUAAAAUAGUAUAAUGGGUUCAAUUCCAGUAAGUUAGGAGGGCAAGAAAACGGGUGGACGUACAUCACAUUCUCAGAAUCAAGAAAAUCAAGUAUUAUUUUGCUUGAGUGACUGGGUGCCCCGUCAGGAUUCAAACUUUGUUGAAUAAACAUUAUUUCUGAGAAAAGUGGAUCAUUCUUCAAAAUAUCUUUUUCUUUUAGAUUGCAUCAUUGUUUUCACCCAUAACAUUAAUAUGAUCAUUAACUAAAUUGAAGUGUUUGGCGUUAUAUACAA